GACGAACGCUGGCGGCGUGCUUAACACAUGCAAGUCGAACGGAAAGGCCCUGCUUUUGUGGGGUGCUCGAGUGGCGAACGGGUGAGUAACACGUGAGUAACCUGCUCUUGACUUUGGGAUAACUUCAGGAAACUGGGGCUACUAUCGGAUAGGAGCUCCUGCUGCAUUGUGGGGGUUGGAAAGUUUCGGCGGUUGGGGAUGGACUCGCGGCUUAUGAGCUUGUUGGUGGGGUAGUGGCUUACCAAGGCUUUGACGGGUAGCCGGCAUGAGAGGGUGAACGGCGACAUGAGGACUGAGAUACGGACCAGACUCCUACGGGAGGCAACAGUGGGGAAUAUUGCACAAUGGGAGGAAGUCUGAUGCAGCAACGCCGCGGGCGGGAUGACGGCCUUCGGGUUGUAAACAGCUUUAGCCUGUGACGAAGCGUGAGUGACGGUAAUGGGUAAAGAAGCACCGGCUAACUACGUG
rnacentral:rRNA from 1 species